rnacentral:rRNA from 1 species
UACGGAAGUGGCGAGCGUUAUCCGGAAUCACUGGGCGUAAAGCGUUCGUAGGCGGCGUGGUAAGUCGGGUUUGAAAUCCCGGGGCUCAACUCCGGAACCGGAUCCGAAACUACCGCACUUGAGCGGAUCAGAGGGCAGUGGAAUUCCCGGUGUAGCGGUAAUAUGCGUAGAUAUCGGGAGGAACACCAGUGGCGAAGGCGGCUGCCUGGGGUCUUGCUGACGCUGAGGAACGAAAGCCAGGGGAGCGAACGGGAUUAGAUACCCCCGUA